rnacentral:rRNA from 1 species
GCGUAGCAAUACGUCAGCGGCAGACGGGUGAGUAACGCGUGGGAACGUACCUUUUGGUUCGGAACAACACAGGGAAACUUGUGCUAAUACCGGAUAAGCCCUUACGGGGAAAGAUUUAUCGCCGAAAGAUCGGCCCGCGUCUGAUUAGCUAGUUGGUAGGGUAAUGGCCUACCAAGGCGACGAUCAGUAGCUGGUCUGAGAGGAUGAUCAGCCACAUUGGGACUGAGACACGGCCCAAACUCCUACGGGAGGCAGCAGUGGGGAAUAUUGGACAAUGGGGGCAACCCUGAUCCAGCCAUGCCGCGUGAGUGAUGAAGGCCCUAGGGUUGUAAAGCUCUUUUGUGCGGGAAGAUAAUGACGGUACCGCAAGAAUAAGCCCCGGCUAACUUCGUGCCAGCAGCCGCGGUAAUACGAAGGGGGCUAGCGUUGCUCGGAAUCACUGGGCGUAAAGGGUGCGUAGGCGGGUCUUUAAGUCAGGGGUGAAAUCCUGGAGCUCAACUCCAGAACUGCCUUUGAUACUGAAGAUCUUGAGUUCGGGAGAGGUGAGUGGAACUGCGAGUGUAGAGGUGAAAUUCGUAGAUAUUCGCAAGAACACCAGUGGCGAAGGCGGCUCACUGGCCCGAUACUGACG